GCAUAUGCAAGGCACAUCUAUGACGGGACCUAUUCCUUCCAACAUCUCUUUCUUGGUGAAUCUAACUGAACUGAGGAUAUCUGAUUUGAAUGGAUCGAGCAUGCCUUUCCCUGCAUUGGGGGAUAUGACCAAAAUGCAGAAAUUGGUACUAAGAAAUUGCUUGAUUUCUGACAUAAUCCCACAAUAUAUUGGGACAAUGACAAAUCUGAAAUCCUUGUAAGUUACUUUGGACAAAUCUUUUAUACAUGGCCUUUAUAUAUUUCUUUUCCCAUGCCAUUGAGUGCUGACUAGGCAUUGUUAGAUGCACAAUAUUCUUAAGUUUGGAUGGUCAACUCUAAAUUAAGUGAUGAAAACAUAAAAUGAAAGUUGAAGAUUCAGCUCCAUGAGUUGACAUGCAAAUCACGACCACUGUCCAGCCAACCGUUUCAUGGUUUGAAAGAAGUUAAAUUAGGAAGGGAAGUGCAAAACUGAAGUGAUUCGACGACAAAUUCAUGGUGAUUUGGCCUUUCACUUUCAUUUCUAUGUUUAUUUUGCUGUGUACUGGCUAAUCCAUCAUGCUACUGGACAAGGAAAAUCCUUUUAGAAAUUCCAAGCAGCUUUUCAAGACUCUCAGCGCUAGAUUAUAUGUAUCUUACUAGCAACAUGCUGACUGGGGUCAUACCCUCUUGGGUCCGAGGUAGCAACCAUUACUUG